rnacentral:rRNA from 1 species
AGCGAACGCUGGCGGCAGGCUUAACACAUGCAAGUCGAGCGGACCUUUCGGGGUCAGCGUCGGACGGGUGAGUAACGCGUUGGAACGUUCCUUCCGGUUCGGAAUAACCCUGGGAAACUAGUGCUAAUACCGGAUACGCCCUUAUGGUGUAAGGUUUACUGCCGGAAGAUCGGCCCGCUUCUUAUUAGCUUGUUGGUGGGGUAACCGCCUACCAAGGCUAGGAUCAGUAGAUGGUCUGAGAGGAUGAUAAGCCACACUGGGACUGAGACACGGCACAGACUACUACGGGAGGCAGCAGUGGGGAAUAUUGGAAAAUGGGGGAAAGCAUGAUCAAGCCAUGCCGGGUGAGUGAGGAAGGGAUUAGGGUUGUAAAGCUCUAUUAUCCGGGAAGAUAAUGACGGUACCGGAGGAAUAAGCCCCGGCUAACUUCGUG